AUGCACGCUGACAGAAUGCUUAACCCCUGCAAGUCGAUGGGGAAGUGGUGCUUGCACCAUGGUAACCAUGGCGGACGGGUGAGUAACGCGUAAGGAACUUACCUGCGGGACCGGGAUAACAGCAGGAAACUGCUGACAAGACCGGAUAAGGUCAUUAAGCUGCAUAGCUUAGUGAUGAAAGGAGACGCCUGCGGAGAGCCUUGCGUCCUAUUAGCUAGUUGGAGGGGUAACGGCCCACCAAGGCGAAGAUAGGUAGCCGGCCUGAGAGGGUGGACGGCCACAAGGGGACUGAGAUACGGCCCUUACCCCUACGGGAAGCAGCAGUGGGGAAUAUUGGACAAUGGGGGCAACCCUGAUCCAGCAAUUCUGUGUGCACGAAGACGGUUUUCGGAUUGUAAAGUGCUUUCAGCAGGGAAGAAGGAAGUGACGGUACCUGCAGAAGAAGCGACGGCUAAAUACGUG
rnacentral:rRNA from 1 species